AUUGAACUCACCAUCAGCCUCAACAGAGACGAUCUGGAGGAGGAAACAGACAGAUCCCAUGUACUGGAUAAAGGAGUGGUAGUAGAAGUGCCAAAAAACAACCCAAAUCUUGCAAUUCCCAGCAUUGUCUGAUGUAUUCCACUGUUUGGCUGGCAGGCUAAAGAGCCCAUCACCAUAAUACUCUGUCAGGAGAAAGGCCCUGCAGCUGCACCUGCUCAGUCUCCUGAUGGCCUAGCAAGUCAACUAAGCUCCCUGAUGGACUGCUCUGCUU